AACGAACGCUGGCGGCAUGCCUAACACAUGCAAGUCGAACGAGACCUUCGGGUCUAGUGGCGCACGGGUGCGUAACGCGUGGGAACCUGCCCUUAGGUUCGGAAUAACUCCCCGAAAGGGGUGCUAAUACCGGAUAAUGUCUUCGGACCAAAGAUUUAUCGCCUUUGGAUGGGCCCGCGUUGGAUUAGCUAGUUGGUAGGGUAAAAGCCUACCAAGGCGACGAUCCAUAGCUGGUCUGAGAGGAUGAUCAGCCACACUGGGACUGAGACACGGCCCAGACUCCUACGGGAGGCAGCAGUGGGGAAUAUUGGACAAUGGGCGAAGGCCUGAUCCAGCAAUGCCGCGUGAGUGAUGAAGGCCUUAGGGUUGUAAAGCUCUUUUACCCGGGAUGAUAAUGACAGUACCGGGAGAAUAAGCCCCGGCUAACUCCGUG
rnacentral:rRNA from 1 species